CCGUAGGUGAACCUGCGGAGGGAUCAUUACCGAGUUAUACAACUCAUCAACCCUGUGAACAUACCUAUAACGUUGCCUCGGCGGGAACAGACGGCCCCGUAACACGGGCCGCCCCCGCCAGAGGACCCCCUAACUCUGUUUCUAUAAUGUUUCUUCUGAGUAAACAAGCAAAUAAAUUAAAACUUUCAACAACGGAUCUCUUGGCUCUGGCAUCGAUGAAGAACGCAGCGAAAUGCGAUAAGUAAUGUGAAUUGCAGAAUUCAGUGAAUCAUCGAAUCUUUGAACGCACAUUGCGCCCGCCAGUAUUCUGGCGGGCAUGCCUGUUCGAGCGUCAUUACAACCCUCAGGCCCCCGGGCCUGGCGUUGGGGAUCGGCGGAAGCCCCCUGCGGGCACAACGCCGUCCCCCAAAUACAGUGGCGGUCCCGCCGCAGCUUCCAUUGCGUAGUAGCUAACACCUCGCAACUGGAGAGCGGCGCGGCCACGCCGUAAAACACCCAACUUCUGAAUGUUGACCUCGAAUCAGGUAGGAAUACCCGCUGAACUUAAGCAUAUCAAUAAGCGGAGGA
rnacentral:rRNA from 1 species